GGCGGCGUGAUGACGCAAGGAGAAUGUGCGCGGCUGCAGGCAUGUGUGGUUACGGUGGUGAGGCUGCUCCUGGUCGUCGUUACCAUCCACUGCCAUCGAGAGUCCCAGGUGGUGCCUGCGACCUGCUGAGUACAGGUGGAUGAUCCUCGGCUCCUCCGCAGCAGAGCUCCUGUAAGAUGCAAUGGUCAAAGCUUCUAGCAAAUUUGGAUCCGUCUCUUCAGUGCAAGCGUUGAACACGCCCGUCUCAUGAAGUUGCUGUCAGAGGCACUGCUCAAUCCUGACAGGCACCGCCCCCCAACCCAGCGGACUCUGCACUGUGUUCCUGCUCCAGCUUCAGCAGCAAACAUCCCAGGAUGCGAGAGCUAGAAGAGACUUGAGAGGUGAUCCCUUCCAUGGAUGAUAGAUUAUUCGGGGAAUCUGCAGUCGUGAGUAUGCCAGGAGUCAGGAGUUUCUGGUUCUUGGCCCAGCUGACAUGUGCACAUCUGACUGACCUUCGCUGACCCCAGGUUUGGAUGCCAUAUUGUCUGCUUCCAGAACAAGGAUCUUCACUAUACAUUGGGACCCAGGCCCCUCUGACAUCUGCAUGAAAAGUGAUAUUUAAUAAAACAGUUUAAAAUUUGUAA